GCCAAACAGCUAGCUUAAUUAUCAACAUAACUUAACAAUAUUAAUAACAAUACAAAACUUAACCCUACAAACUAAACCAUUUUUUUACCUAAGUAUGGGAGACAGAAAAGGUUCACCUAAAGCAAUAGAGAAAAUACCGCAAGGAAAGCUGAAAGAGAAAUGAAACAACCCAUAUAAGCACUGAAAAACAAAGACUAAACCUUGUACCUUUUGCAUCAUGAUUUAGCCAGUACCCUCAAGCAAAGAGAUCUUUAGUUUGACACCCCGAAACCAGGUGAGCUACCCCGAGGCAGCCUAUAUAAUUUAGGGCUAACCCGUCUCUGUGGCAAAAGAGUGGGAAGAACUCCGGGUAGCGGCGACAAACCUACCGAACCUGGUGAUAGCUGGUUGCCCAAGAAAUGAAUAAAAGUUCAGCUUCAUAUGCCCUUAACCAAAACAUAUUACCAAGGUACUAUGGAAACGUAUGAAAGUUAGUUAAAGGGGGUACAGCCCCUUUAACAAAGGAUACAACCUUAACAGGAGGAUAAAGAUCAUAAUCAAUAAGAUAUAUUGUUUUAGUGGGCCUGAAGGCAGCCACCUAAACAGAAAGCGUUAAAGCUCAGACAAAAAAGAAUCUACUAUUCCGAUAAAAAAUCUUACUCCCCUAACCAUAUUGGGCCAACCCAUGCUCACAUGGGAGAGACCAUGCUAAAAUGAGUAACAAGAAGACUUGAUCUUCUCCCGCCACAAGUGUAAGUCAGAU
rnacentral:rRNA from 1 species